UAGGGUGACCAGCUAUCCUGGUUUGCCCAGGACUGAGGGUUUUCCCAGGAUUUGGGACUUUCAGUGCUAAAACAGGGUAGUCCUGGGCAAACUGGGAUGGUUGGUAAUCCUCCUUCUGA
rnacentral:pre_miRNA from 1 species